rnacentral:lncRNA from 1 species
GGAGAGAGAGGGAGAGAGAGAGAGAAUCUUAUUAUUAUUAUUAUUAUUAGGGAAAACUUCAAAUAGUCCCAUUGUGGUUUUACUUUUUCUCAUUUUAGUAUCCUAUUGUUUAAGGAGUAUCAAGUUAGUAUCAUGUGGUUUUACACUUUUUCACUUUAGUACCCUGUGGUUUAAAAUGUAUCAAGUUAGUAUUGUGUGGUUUCGCAGUUUCUCACUUUAGCACCCUAUGGUUUCGUACUUUCUCAUUUUAAUACUCCGUGAUUUUUAAACCACAAGGUACUAACUUGAUACAAAAAUGAAAUCACAGAAUACUAACUUGAUACAAAAAUAAAAUUAUAGAGUACUAACUUGAUAUAUUUUAAACCACACGGUACUAAAAUGAGAAUUUACAAAACCACAGGUACUAACUUGAUACACUUUAAAUUGUCGAAUACUAAAAUAAAAAUUACGAAACUAUAAGGAUUUUUUUUUAAAAAAAGUUUUCCCUUAUUAUUAUGGAGAGGUGGGGGGCCAGAGACAGCAUGAUGGGGUGUCUGACGCGGGACUGCUCAUUUCCACGUGUCUUGGCGUGUACGGCCUCCGAUGCAUCAAAAAUGAAAGAGAGGGUACGGCCCCCUGAUCGCCGCAGAUCGCAAAAGUUAGGCGGAGCUGCUCCUACUGCUGCUGCCUGCUGCUACGCGCAAUCGCCUCUCUCUCUCUCUCUCUCUCUCUCUCUCUCUCUCCAUAGUCCAUCCUUCUCCCUCUGUGGCUGACUGUGGGGCCCCACAAAAAAAGAUUAAAAAAUAGAUUAAAAAAAUAAAAAUGAGGAAGGAGCCAGUGACGUCGCCCCACGCGUCCGGCGGAUAAGUCGUGCAGCGUUUUACGAGCUGUUACAUCCGUGACCCCGACCGCCGGCCCGACUCUUCCCUAAUCCUGUGCCAGAGUACUUGUACUGCCGGUCCUUCUCGGAGUUGAGAAGAUACCGGUGGAACCCAUCCCUCCUCCCAUUAACGCCGUCUCGCAUUUUGGGACCUCACUUGUUAGAAUAAUAAUAUUUCUACACAACUUAUUUUUUCCACUACCGUUCAUUAUUUUUAUUUAAUAAUUCAGAUUUUUUUAAAAAAAACAAAAAUUAUAAUCUGCCAUAAUAGAUAUUUUAAAAGAGACACUGAUUAUCAGGUACAGAACAAAAAAGUCAUUUUGGUCUUUUUAAUAUUGUGUGAAUAAUUUAGUAAUCUUAUCUUUACUACAAAAAAAUCAAAUCUCUAUUCUCUUUUUAUUUUCUUUUUCUCUCUCUAUUUUUCCUCUUCAUCAACAGUAGGGUAGGAUUCGGGACGGAUUUCCAAAAAUCCGAAUCCGAAUCCAAAUAUGAAAAAUUUUAAAAAAUCAUAUUCACAUCCGUACCUGACUAAAAGUCCAAAACCCGAAUCCUAAUCCGAACAUGAAAAUCCAAACCCGAAAUAUUUAUUUUUCCUUACAAUAUUUUAAAAUAAUAUUAAAUUAAAUCUAAAUUUAUAAAAUACAUAUUCAAAUAUAAUAUCAAAUAUUUACAUAUAUUAUAUAUAUCAAAAAAUAAAUUCGGGUUCGGAUCAGAUACAAUCAAAAUCCAUACCAUGAAUUUAAAUCCGUCGGAUUUUUCAUUUUUGAUAUCCAUAUUUAAAACUAUAUCCAUUUAGUAUAGAUAAAUCCACCGCAUUUGCUUUCAGAUUUGGAUUCAGAUUCAUAUAAAAUUAUUGAGAUCCGUUCCCAUUGACAUCCAUAAUCCACAAAUAUUUUGUUAUUUUAUAUCCGUAAUCUACAGAUAUUUCAUUAAAAAAAAUUACAAUAUAUUAAAUUCGUUGAAUUUAAAUUUUUUUUCCUACAUUCAAAAUUUUUUAAAGUUUGUGAUAAAAAGUUAAUAUCUUAACUAGAAGAAUUUAAAAGCUUCUUAAACAAACUAAAUAUGUUGAAUUCGUUAUUAUCAACAUUAAAUUUGUUAAAAUAAUAACACAAAAUUUUUCUUACUUAAAUAUCAAAUUUAAAUAUCAAAUAUUUAAAUUCAACAUAUUUGUUACCACUUUUAAAAUUUUUAAAAUUAAAAUUAAUGCCUAAAUUAGAAGAAUUCUAAAAUGCCUAAAAUUUGGGACAUCAAUCAAAUUUUAAUUUAAUAUUUAAAUUAGUUGCAAAAGAAAUGCUAAAUUUGGGAUAUUAAUCAAAACUUUUUUAAAAUUUUACCUGAACCUUCAUUAAUCAACGGUUAAGAUCUUUUUUAUUUUUUACAAAAUAAAAGUAUCAAAUCUUUUCUCCACUUGUUAGCCAUUGUAUGCCAUCUGCAAAAGAAUAAUAUAAUAAAAUUUUGUUUUUCUUUCCUUCGAAAUAGGAGAUUCGAAUAGAUUUUCCUACUUCGGACAAGGGCCCGCCGUGUUUCAUGCGGGCCCCUCCCAAUCAACGAGCUCUCCGAUUUUAGAGAGACGAUCACGACUCCUCUGCGAAUGGCUGUGAACACAUUCUGUCGGUAAUGAGCGAAGAAAUUGGUUCAUACGUAUAAAACUUACAUUCAAACUUCAAGAACACUACACUACUUGUGGACAAAAUCAGAACAAAGUAACUUGAAAUAUUUUCCACCCAGAUUGAAUUUGUUCCAAAUUUAAUCCUACCCUUUAUAAAGUGCUUCAACUAUGUAUAUUUUUUUCCCCAAUACUACCAUGUCGAAUUGGAUAAAACAUGUCCGCGCAUCUUUAGAUAAUCCUAAGCAAGCCCAACGCACAAAAAACAAAAAGAAAGAACAAAAGAAAAAAAAAAAGAAAAAAAGAACUUACCACAAAUGAGAGACUAAGUGGGAAUACCAUUAAUUAGGUAGGUGCAAGAGUCAAAGUGUGGACACUCAAUCAGGUACUAGGGCAAUAAUUCAUUAGAAUUCGUGUUUUAGGGUACGAGUUAGGUGCGAGAGAUGUACCAUUUUGCACAUCCUUUGAUUUGUUUAAUCGUUGCGGAGAUUACACUUUUUGACAAAGCUUAGCCAUAUGUGUGAAGCAGGUCCAGGAACUUUGUCACUUAAAAAAAUAAUUAAAAGAAAGCUUUUGCUAAUAUGUACAUAUAAUAAGCAACUUUGUUAAUCAUUAUGGUUGCUUCUUACUCGACGCGCGGUAGGUAGUGGUACUUUUGUUCCCGAACAUUUAAAAGCGAAAGUAACAAAUGUACUAAAAACUAUCACUACAGUAAAUAAAUAUUGUUUAUUAAUAUUUAUUCAUCGAGAUUUUUUUUUCCUCUGCCAAAAAAAAUAAUAUAAAAUAUAUCAAUUAUAUUACUGAUGUGGUGUCACCAAUCACCCGUCCUAUCAUGAUUAAUAAAAAAAUAUUUUUAUUUUACUCUUUACUCAAAAGUGAGAUGUAAUUGGCUGUUAAUAAAUAAUAUAAUGUGACUGAUACACAAUAGAAUCUCUUCUGCCAAAAUACUUGUGCGUCUUUGGUUUCACUUGCCUCUGGUUAUACUGAAAUACUUUUUUUAGAGAUAAACAGAGUAGUGUAAUUUUGCAUCGCUUUCAAUAAUGAAAAUUUUGAAUUGAUGAUGGACAUCAUCAAGCACGAUUUAAGUUAUUUGAAUAUUUUAGAAAAUAAAUUUUAUGAUUUUAAGAUAUCAUUUACUUAGUAAUCAAAUUGUCUCAAAUUCAUUUUCCAUAAAUUUCAACAGUGUCAAUCAUUGAUUCGAAUAAUCUAGCUAAAAAAAUAUGCAGAAGUAAAUAGCCUGAUUUAAUUCCAGAAAUAUUUUAGCCGAGAGAGAAAAAGUUAGGCUAAACAUUUCUUAGGUGUAAUUGAGGGAGUUUUCUUCCGCAUCAUUUCUGGCAAUAAAAAACUGAAUUGAUAAUCGGUACCAUAAAAUACAAAGUAAGGUAUUUAAACUUUUAAACUCCAUAAUAUUAGAAUAUCAUUUAAUAACAACUUAAAAAAAUUAUAUGUCUAGUGAGCAAGUAAUCUCAAAUUUACUGUAUAUUAGCCGUUGACAAUUAUUAAUUCUGAGGCAAUUUGAAUACUACGUAAAAAUAUUGGAAAAAUCAAAAAUUUGAAACAUGAGAAGUUUAGAUAGUUUAAAUCAAAUUUAACAGUCUGAAUCUCAUUGAAAGCACUGCAGAAGUUACAGCCUCAUUUACUUCUAGUCUCUAUAUAUAUUCUACUCUUAGUCCCUCUCUCUCUCUCUCUCUCUCUCUCUCUCUCUCUCUCUCUCUCUAUAUAUAUAUAUAUAUAUUUAUAAACUCCUAUACAAAAUAUGUCUUACACCACAAGCAUCCAAACUCCCAUCUUCUCUUUAUCCUCUUAUCAUUUUUUUUUCACACUAAAACUCAUUUGAAUUUUAGUGAAUCCCAAAACACAAAGAGCGUAAGAUUUACACCUAUCAGACAAUAUUUUCCAUAUUUGAAAAUCUAGUUAUAAAAAGCAAAUAAAUGAAAUAGGACAAAAGAAAAAAGUGGACGCAUGGUACGACAUGAAUAUUUAUGAAUACAUAAUCAACAAACUUUACGAGAACAAUUAUUAGAGAAUUGAUAUUUUUCAAAGAUAUUGUUCUGAUUUUACAUCUAGCAAUGAUUUAGACUCUCUUAUUUUGACAGCAUCAAAAUUAGUUGUGUAGAUAUCAAGUCCCAGAUGAUGAUUAACAUAUAAAAUGGAGCAUAACAAAUUUGAACAACUGGAAUAAGAUACACUGGGAGUUGUGAGAGUGCAAUUUCAAGGCGACUGCAGCGUGUGUUGACUUUUGCAAACGAAGAUCAAAUAAUGUUCGGGGCCCCAACUGGGCUGUCUCAAAAUAAGAGGCAAAUAACAGCUCCACGUAGCUCGCACAGUGCAGUCGCUGUACUUAACCACAAAAUGAAAAAGAUGUCACAUUCCUUAAACAUUAUGCAAUUUAUUUAACAAUCUACAAUUAUUUCACUCAAUCAUCCAGUGCUUUACUUUGUUAUUAAUAACUCUUUUCCUUUCUUUUCCUUUUUUUUGACAAUUUUAAAUAAGAGGGGUUAACUCAAUCAAUUGUCUGAUUGAAAAUUAUUAAAAAAUUAACAAAACUCAGAGAGUUAAGAAUGGAUGAUUGUUCAAAAAUUAUAUAUAUAAACUUAUUUUUAAAUAUAAAAAUAUAUAAACACCCUUCUCUAACAACUUAAACUUUUAAAUUACGACGGUUAUUUCACAUGGUAUCAAAAUAGGAGGCCAUGAAUUCAAGUUACGUCAGAGUCCUAAUAUUAUUAAUUUUAUUCUAUUUAAUUCAAAUCCACGUCAUGACCCUUGUAAAAAAAAGUCUGGAACCCAGACAUGAAAAAGAAUGUUAAAUAUAAAAAUUUAUAAAUACUGUUCUCUAAUAACUUAAGCUUUUAGACUACUGAGAAUACUAUAAUACACACACCCGAAAAUGUUAGUUUUGUAUGCUUGUUACAAUGUAGGCUUAAUAAUAAAAAUCUUCUCUGGAUUUCAUCCUGUAAAAAAAUUUGACAUUAAAAAUUACAUUAACUUUUGAUGAAAAAAACUAACGGUCCAUCCUACACUUUAGUCUUCUGCCAAAUGUAUCUAAAAUUUAAAAAUUACAUUAACUUUUGAUGAAAAAAACUAACGGUGAUGAUGUGGAAAAAUCAUUUGACAUUAAAAAUACAUAAUUCUCGCUUGUGAAUACUUUUUCCUAAUUUCUUUUGAAUUUCGAUAUUUGACCAUGCGUGCUUGAAAAAAUUUAAAUGGACUUAAAAAGAUGCUAUCUCAACAUGCAAUCGUUAAAGUUAACUAAAACACUUAAUAGAACAACCUAUUUGAUAUAGAAUUGAAUUAUUUAUGCAAAAAAAAUAUUUGAGAUACAUAGUAAAGUGCAAAAAGAAUUUACAUAAUUAAGUCUACAAUAUAAAAAUCUGAAUCAAAUCGUACAUAUGAUCCUAAAUUAAAGCAUUGUGCAUUUUCCAAAUCAAAACAUCACUCAAUUUACUGGGCAAAAAAUUUUGUGGGCAUCCGUUGUUUGGGGAUGAAGCGGCGCGUGGUUUGCAGGCGCCCAUUCCGCCGCCCAUUUUUCUCACCUGCUUCCUUUUCUCUCUCUCUCUCUCUCUAAAAAUUGGAGCUCACAAAUUUUUUCUUUUUCAUUUUCGAGGGUCAGGUGCAGGCGCCUGUAUAUGAAUAUUUCAAUAAAUUAUUUGAAAACGAUGCCUAUAAAAUUUUUGUGGCAAUUCACUCCAUGCAAGAGAUGAUCACACCGUCAUAAUAAAUAAAGGCCUAAUAAUGCUACUUUGGUGAUUUUAAAGGAUACAUCAUGCACACGAAUCUCGAGGAGCUAAGGAUCACGGGACACAGGUACAAAAGUACUCGCCCCAGAUCACACACCACUCACUCACUCCCCAAACUGAAGCCACAACUGUGACAAAAGUUGUAACUGAGGAGCGAGCCUACGAGGAGUCUUCUUCGUAGCCUACCCCCUUUCUAGAAUGCAAACAGGUAUAUUGAUGACGUGGUGUAACCAAUCAAUCAGAAAUUUUCUUUUAAAAAAUAUAUAUCUCAUCAUGAUUAUAAAAAAAUAUUUUUAUUAUAUUUUUGUUUGAAAAGAAGAAAAGUAAUUGACUUGUCAUUGAUAAUGUGAUACAAGUGUGAUAGUGUAGAAUUCCUCCUCCACCUGAGAGAUAAACCUGAGAGAUAAAGAUGUUUGCCUAAUUUUAGAUACGAAAGUGAAAUUCACCACCUUUUUUUUUUUUCCUUUUCUUCUUGUUUUUUCAAAAAAUAAAAAUAAAAUUAAAUUAACUAAAUCUCUUUAUGGUCCCCUUAUUGGCGUCCCAGCCCUCUUGCUGAGUCCAACUAUAUAUGAGGUUAUAUAUAUAUAUAUAUAUAUAAAACCAAAAUGAGUUCCCCUCCCAUGACAUGAGGAGCCAUUAGUUUUGCUCUCUCUCUCUCUCUCUCUCUCUUUAGACAAAGAGCGCGUCACCCUUCUCCUUCGUAUCAUCAGCUUCUGAUAGAGACCUCCUCCAGUCCUCCUCCUCCUCCUCCUCGUGAAUACGUGAGAAAGGAAAUGUAUCUCACAAGGCCCACAUUUGUAUUCUCCUCCUCAAGUGUGUGUACAAACAUAGAAAGAUUGAUUAGCAGCAGCAUGAGAAAUAGAGAGAGCUGAGAAAACCAUACAUAAGAAAGCGAAAGAUGAAGGCUUUUCUUUUCUUUCUCUUUCCUUUUUUUAUUUUAUUUUUUGCUGGGGGGCCGGGGGUGCAUGCUAAACCGGUAAUAGUAUGAUGAGAGAUUCUCCUUGAAAACGAAAAAGAAGAGAGGGGUAAAAAGGAAUUAUUACUGCACACAAACUAAUUAAUUCCUCAUACAAAUCUUUGUUGCCUCUCUCUCUCUCUCUCUCUCUCUCUCUCUCGCACACUCUCUUGUGGCCCUUGUUAAUUAAUCUGGACCCACAACAAGCUUCUAAAAAAACUCACCGGCGUAGAAAGAUAAUAAUUUAAAGGAAAAGAAAAGAAAAAAAAAAAAAAAAAAAAGAGAGAAAAGGAAAGGAAAAGAAGCGUGGAAGCUAGCUAGUAUUCUCCCACUGAUCAAAGAUAUUCUUAAACCACUCAAAAACUCUGCUUCUAAUAACUCAAUCGAGAAGGGAUCGAGAAAGAGAGAAUCGAUUUUUUUUCCUUUUUUUUUUUUGGUUUAAAAAAAGGGGGAGAUAUUAAUUAAUUUCUACCAUGCGAUAUAAACCUUCUUUCCUUUUUCUCUUGAAGUUUACUACUGUGAACUGGUUUGGUGAUCUUCUCGACUAUCCGCGCCUUGCUGCUGGCGAGCAUGGGAUUGCUGCUGCUGCUGCUGCUGCUGAUGUUGGUGGUGGUGGUGGUGGUGAUCCAACGGUUGAUGAUGGUGGUCGGAGUUCAUUCCCCGAUUAUAAGCGCCGAGAGCGGCGGCGGGGAGCAUCCCGAGGUUGGUGUCGGAGAUGCCGAGCCCCAGAUGCUGCGUCAUCGGCCCCAGGGCGCCGGUGCGGCCUCCGCCGCCCUGGAACUCCAACCCGCCGGAGAAGUUGAUCCUCGACAUGAACUGCAGCGGCGCCUGCACGCUGCUCCCGCCGCCGCCGCCGCCGCCGCCGCCCGCCGCGGCGGCCGCGCGGUACUGCCCGGCCGCCCCGGCCGGGAACGUCCAUAUGGAGGCCUCCGACGGCCCGGCGGCGGAGGGCGCGGCGGAGACGGGGAGCAUCCAGAAGGCCCCGCCCGGCGCAGCGCUGUUCGGGGCCACCGUCCACAUUGCCGCCGCGGAGACGACGCCGCCAGGGGGCCGCACUAGGCCAGCGGCGGCGUCGCCUCCGCCGGAUGCGGCGGUUCUCGACGACUUGGAGGCGGAGGACGGGGAAGAGGGGCCGGCGUCCUGGGGAGGGGUGUUCUGGGGCUCCUCCUUGAAGAGGUCCUCUCUGAAGCGUUUCCUCAAAUAGGUAUCGGACGAGGGCUCUCCUCCUCCCCCUCCCCCUCCCCCUCCCCCUGCGCUUUGCAAACCCUCGGUCAUCUGCUGCUCCGGGGAGAGCAGGUGGUGCUGGUGAUGGGGAUGGGGGUGGUGGUGGUGGUGGUGGGCGUGGAGCUGGUGGAAGCCGAGCAUGGCGGCGGCGGCGGCGGAGGGGUCGUGGGCGGCGAGGGCGAGGGCGUGGAAGGAGUGGGGCCGGGGGGGGGGAGGCGGAGGCGGAGGAGGAGGAGGAGGUGGAGAAGGAGGCGGGCGUGGUGCCGGUGCCGGUGGCGGCGAUGAUGGAGGGCUCGGCCUGGCGGAGCAGCCACUCGAUGGUCUCCCCGUCGGACUUGUGCCCCAGCUCCCGCGUCAGCUGGAACACCCGCGCCGCGCACACCGCCGGCAUCCGGAUCCUCCGCCCCCGCCCCUCCACCUUCGUGUGCCGAUCCUUCGACGACCUCUUCGUCGUCGUCGCUACGGCGGCGCCGGAGGACGAUGGAGAGGGGUCGGGGGCCUUCGCGUGGGGCGCCGGCGCCGACGAGGUGGAGAUGGCGAGGGACGGGUCCACGCGCCCGCCUCCGUGGGCGUGGAUGAGGGACCCCAUGAAAGAGGCCGCACCGCCGCCGCCGCCGCGGCUCUCGAAGGAGACGAGGUGGUGGUGGUGGUGCUGCUGCUGCUCCGACGUGCUUCUGCUGCUGUUCGUUCCUGUACUAUUACUACUAUUCGAAGGCCCGCCUCUUCCUCCGCCUCCUUGCUCUCUCUGGUCCAUCUCUUCUCUCCCGAUAAACCCAAUUUUUCUUUCUUUGAAAUAAUAAUAAUAGUAAUAGUAACAACAACAACAACAACAACAACAACCUUUCUUUCUUUCUUUCUUUCUUUUUAAUCUAUAGGGGUGCUCUAAUUAAAUUUCUUCAAUAAUUCCUCGUUAUGAUUUUUAUCCUACCAUGUUCUUCUUCUCUCCCAUCUCUCUAUUAGUUUACCCUGAAAACUCUUUUAAAAACCACCGAGAAAAAAAAAAAAAUAGAGAGAGAUAGAGAGAGAGAGAGAAUAGAAAGGAAGAGAUGGAGCACCUAGUUAGGGUUUUGGACUCGUCCCAGGGCACGUGCAGGGUCCGGGAUGCUUACUCCGCUGGGCACUGCGUGGGGCUCCUUUCUCUAUUCCCUGCUAAUUCAUUGACUAUUGUCUUCGUGCGCGCCCACCCCCCCCUCCCCUCCCCUCCCCUCUCCCCACCUCUCUCACUCACAAAUAUAAGAAAGAAACAUAGAGGAAGCGAAGAAGAAACGAGUACGAGAAGAAAACAACACAACCGAAGAGAAAGGGAUAGAGGAAAAACCAAAAGAGAGAAAGAGAGAGAGAGAGAGGUCGGUUUGGAUCCUAAACCCUAAUUAAAAAAUCCCUUCCUCACCUUUCGCCUCUAUCUCUCGCCCUUCUCUCUCUCACACUCUCUUUCAUUUUUUUUUUUUUUUCCCUUUUUUUUUUUUUUUUUUUUUUUUUUUUUUUUUUUUUUUUUUUUUUUUUUUUUUUUUUUUUUUUUUUUUUUUCCGGUCACUAGAAAAGCUUCCAUUACAUGGGCCUUCUCAAAGCUGUUAUAAGGCUUUCAAUGACCUCAUUGAAAGCAGCAGAUGCUAAGGAAGUCGCUUCCUCAGUCACAGCUAUUGCAAAUGAGAAGCUCAAGGCAGAGAAGGAAGCGAAUGCAGGAAAGAAGAAACAAGGUAAGGAUCCUUUGAGAGCAGGUCCUUGAACUUACAUUUAUUUGGAUGGAUGUUUGGAUGGAUCCCUCAACUAUCAUACUGGUUGAUAUNAAAAAAAAAAAAAAAACAAAGAAACACGCAGUUAAUAAUUUAGAAGGGAGAGGACUGCGACAAGUGGUCCUUAUCCGUUCGGUGAUGGGGAAUUUGAGGGGAGGAGAAACAGACCGUCACGGUAAUAGUAAAAUAUAAAGAACACAACGUCCGGGUAUUUAAGGCGCUUUUUGUUGUGUUUUAAUCUUCUUUCUUCUUUUUUUUAUUUUUAUUUAGCUGUGCCCUCCUCCAAGGUUGAGAAGUGCAUGGAAAGAUUCUUAUUUGCCUUCUCAAAAAACUUUAUAAUUUCUGAUAAUUAUUAAUACAUCUAGUUGGCUCACAUAUCUGAUCAAAACAGCAAUCAUAACUUGUGUAUUAUUAUUUAUAAUAAAGUCUAAGCUUUUGAAUAAGUUCGAGCGUUUUGGUAUGAUAUAAAAACUUGAUUCUCACUCUUCUUGCUUCUGUGUGAUCUGUUGGUUAGGAAUUGAGUCCAUAAAAUUUGUUUAACUGUAUUGUAUCUGUGUGUCAUGUUCUAGAAAUUAAUUUGUAUAAUUACAUAAAUCAAUAUUUACUAAUAUAUGAGAACACAUUUACCGUAUGUAGUACAGUUGGCUAAAACUUAAUAAUUGGUAUUCGAAAUCUCUAGUUUGAGUCUAGUUAAUUUAUAUUUCUAAAUGAAUGCAUUUUUGAAAAAUAAAUGAAAUAGCAAACUUGCUAUCUUUCUUUCUCUCAAAAGAAAAAAAAAUUUGUGAGGAAACAGGCACAAAUCAUUGCUCUCAAUGAUAUGCAAACAAAGGCUCUUAUUUCUAAGAGUUUAAGGAUAAUUAUAAAAGUCUUGAAAGGAAUAUAUACACAAAUACAUAUAUUUAUAUAUUUGGAGUAGGGAUGCAAGCGGAGCGAAUUGGGGGGCGAGAAGGUUCCCCCACCUCCUGCUCCAUUUUUUGUCGGAGCAGGGUGGAUUCGGGACGAUUUAUUUUUCAUUUGAUUUUUGGCUCUCACUUAUCAUUCCAUUCAAGGCGAAUCGAGAGGGGGGAGCUGAUUUUUGAUGGAUUUUUGAUGGAUCAAAGUGGAUUAAAGAAAGAAAAAAAUCUCUUACCUUCCGUCCUAUUUACUUGGCGAAUCGAAACAGAUUAUAUUUUUCUAUAUUAAUAUUUUAUUUCAACUUAUCGUUCCAUUUGAAACUGAUCGCGGCGGGAGCUCCUCCAACGCCGAUCCAUUUGCAUCUCUAAUUUGGAGUGCUAUAUAUGUGUAUGCACAACCCCCUUUUCUAAAAUUUUACCGCUUCUUCUCACCGCUACUACUAUUGCUCACUGUCCCCAGGUAAUUUGGGCAGCAGCAGCAGCAGCCAGACAGCGCAGGUGCGCGUCAGAUAAAAGCAUCUAAUGCUGAUGACAGCUCAUCCCAACAAUAUAAACAUCUCCCUCUUUCCUUCUCUCCCACCCCCACCCCCACCCCCACCCCCCAUUAAAUAAAAAAAAAGAAAAUUGUUUAAACAAACAAGUUACAUUAAUAAUUUAAAAAUAAAAAAGCAUUGUUCUUGUUAAUUAAUGUAGUGUAUAUAUAUCUAUAUAAAACAAUGCAUAAAACUGGUAGUGUACUGCUCCUGCCAGUCAACUCCAGCCUGGCCCACUCUCUCCAAAAGUUAAUAAUAAAAAAUAAAAAAACCGGCCCACUUUGCCUUCCCUCCGUCACCGAAAUCCCACCCAACCCCACAAACUUUAUCUUUUUUUCUUUUAGUUUCUUUUUUUCUCAAUCUCUCUCUCCAUCUUUAAUUUCCUUCCAGUAAAAGAUAUUUUGUGGAUUAAUAAUUCCGCAAGCCUUUACACUUUAUUCACGUCCCUUCCCCAUCUAAUCUUGAUCUUUCCAAUGAGGUCCCUCUUGUUUGGUACAAUUACUCUCGGACAAUUGUAGGGGUGACUACUAUUAAUUGUGGCCCAAUUAAUCAUCCUACUGUUGAAAGGCCCUCUGUCCAAUGGGCCCACAGAUAAUAUAGCACUUUUAAAAGCCCCCCCCCCUCUCUCUGCAAAUUAUUAUUAUUAUUUAAAUGGCGCACAGUUAUAACCACUGUCUCAAUUCCGUUCUGCUUUCGAAUAUCUCCUAGCUAAAGACGUGUAGGUAAUAUCAGAAGAAUCGCACAAAUAACAAAGGAGAGAAAUUGGUCCCGUGAUCUCUAAAAACAAAAGGAUUCAAGAUUGAUUCCGACAUCAUUUAUUUCAGUUAGAAAUUGAUUUGAUAGAAAAAAUAAUAUAGAAAUUGUCUUAACGGAGGAUGCGUAAGUCUUUGCACGUGGUCAAUCAAAUAAUUUUUCAUAUCACUUUCUUAAUCCCUUGGAAAUUUAUAAAGAUAUCAGAGAGGCUAAGACUAUCCUUUUGUUGACUCCAUUGGUCACGUUGUCAACCUUAUCAUGUACCCAUCUCUUUUUUUAUCUCCCCUUUUUUUUCUUUUUCUUUUUCCUUUUUCCUUUUUUUUUUUUUUUUUCCCCCCUCUUUAUUAGCCAUUUUCCCACCCUUAGAAUUAGUGGGGGCUCCAUCUGUACAACCACGCGCGUUGUGGGGUACUGUCGCACGACUCAGUUCGAACCAGCUUCUUAUUUAGCCCGAGUCACCUGACUCACGUGCGUUCAGUGUCUUGGGCUUGCCCAUCCCUUCUUUGUAUUUUAAUGUAUUUAUUUUUAUUAUUUAUAUUUUUGUACAUACGAGAUGCAUGCAUGUAAUAAUAGAAUAUUGCAUGCCACAGGUCCACCAGAAUGUUAAAUGUUAUAUAUUCUGUUAAUGUAUUAAUACUUAUAAUAAAAACAAAUUUAAUUGGUUCAUAUAUGCUAUCCAAGAGAACAGUAUAUAUAAUAUAUAAAAAUAACACUCUGAAUGGUAAGUCUUGUGUAUUAUUAGAAGCACGAAGGUCUUCGUGCUCCUAAGUUGUUUUGGAUGAUGGAGCUUUCGAACUGAUGAUCAACUCCGUUAGACUUGUUCUAGCGUAUUUGAAGUAUUUAGAAAAUGAAUUUUGCGAUUUUUCAAUAUCAUUUAUUUAGCGAUCAAAAGGGUUUAAAAUCAAUGGCUGAAAAUAAAAAUUUCACAAAAAAUGAUGAUAUAGCACUAAAAUUUUCGAUCAGAGAUAUUAUCUUGCUGUAAAUAGUAUAAAAAUUUUUUAUCAAAAUUUCAUCUGAUUUGAAUAUUUCUACACCGUUAAACUUGCAAGCGGUAUAAAUCAAUCAUUAAAAAUUAUUGAUUUUUAUCCCUUUUGAUUCUAGGCAAAUAAUAUCGAAAAAUCGCAAAAAUUAUUUUCUAGAUAUUUCAAACACGCUAGAUCAAGUCUAACGGAGCAUAUCGUCAAUUCAAAAACUCUAUCAUAAAAAACGGCUUAGGAGCACGAAAACUUCUGUACUCCCUUGCACACAAAAUCUACUCUCACUACAAGAAUUAGUAUUUUUAACGACCAAAUUUUAACGACAGUGAUUUUAAUCUACUCUCUCUCUCUCUAUAUCUAUAUAUAUAUACACCAAGACAUUAAACAUUCUAAAUGACCAAAUCAUUUCCCUAAUUAUAUUCAUGUUUGUACAUACAUUAUGUUUGAUUUAAUAUUUAUACAAGCUUAUAUAAAUAGAUAUGAAAGAUCAAGUUGGAUAACCAAUUAAGUUGAAUAUAAGUAAAGGAAGGUGUGUUAAUAUUAAAAAAAAGGAGGAUCAGGUCACCAAAGACAGAGGUAAUACUGUUUCCACAUCACCCCACAUUUGUUGGCUUUCUCUAUACCUGGAUUCCUGAUGAGUGAUAAUGACCUCUCCCUUGCCACCCACACCAUCCCAUCUCACUCAUUUUUUAAUAAUAAAUAAUCAUUUAAUAAUAAUUCACAAUCACUCUAAAAGAUUUUUUGUGGAUUAUUAAUUAUAUGUUUGUAGGAAGUAAGAUACAUCCGUAUCCUCCCAUUUUUAUUUUCCUUAUAAAAUCUUUCUGCUUGUUAAGGAUCUAACUUGGCAUCUCCAGUAGUACUAAAUAUUUGACCUUAUUUCUAAAGCAUAGUAUUUUUAGUUCUAAUAUAGCACCUAUAAAGUGGCUUUUUGUGCUACAUAAAUUUUGAUAAAUGUGUCGCAUCAUAAAUUAAGCAAACUCUUCUACAUUGGCGUACGUAUUAGACGCAAAAAAUUUUUACAAAUAAGUCUACAGUAGUUCAUAAAAAAAUUGAGCUGAAUAUAAUCCGACAUUAGCAUCAAAUUUUAACGUACAAUAUUGUUUAAGAACCUCUAUUUUAAAAAAUUAUUAUCAUUUUUCAUCCGGCUACUCCGACUACAUAUACGAAUCAAACAAAUUUUUUAUAUUUAUAAACAUCACUACAGCACAAUCUUUAACAAUAAAUUUUAAAAAACAACAGAAAUUUUUUUUUUUUGUUCUUGUUCUAUAAUUUUGUCCGUCUUUUAGGCAAAAGCUAUAACUGUUUAGAAAAGAAAGCGGCUGCAGCGCUUUCCCCACAACGCGAGGGAAAGCGGUGGUUAAUUUUCUUUUUUAAAGGGAGAAAAAAAAAAAAGGAAAAAGGAAAAAAAAGAAGAAAAAGAAAAAAAAGGCGAUAGAGUACUGCUGCUGCUGCUGCUGCUGCAUGGAAAAGCGCUUUUCCCUCUGUCGCGGCCCCGUACGUGCCGUCACCAGCCGCGUAGCACGUGCGUGCGAGUGAGUAUACGCCAUGGAUUUGAGAGCACUUUUAUUCCUGGAUAAAAUUUUACUGCGGUAAUAAUAAUUAUAUAAUGAUAAUAAUAAUAAUUACAAAACUACGUAACGUGGUUUAAUUAACCAAUUAUUAUUAUUAUUAUUAUUAUUAUUAUUAUAAUAUUAUACUCGGCGGUGGGGAACACAAAGCACCCGUAUCAUUCGUCUUCCGGAUGACGUGGAGAUUGAUUAUUGGGGACCAGUAUGUGGGACCCACGGGACGCGUCCAAUCGAUGUGGACCACCUUCUGAUUGGUAGGUGGGUUUGGAGGUUUUUUUUUUUAUUUUUUAAGGAAUUUUUAAGUGGUCCUUAAUAAGACAGGGGAGAAGUUAAGGUACGGCCCUAUAACGGGAUUGGUUAAUAAUGCCUUUCCCGUUUCAGAAGAAAAACCCGGUUCGCCACGUCAGCUCGUGAACCUCAUACUGCCACAUUUUCUUUUUUUUUAAAAAAAAAAAAUUUGUGGUGUGUUGAGACUCAUCGAUCUCACUUUAGUUAAGAAAAUUUGUAUUUUGUGAGAUGGAAUUGAACUGUAAAAUGAAAUAAAGAGUGUACCGUAGAUGGUGGACAAGUUAACACCCAUGGUGCAUUAGAUGAUAGUAUUUUUUUUUUUUCGUAUUUAAGCGUUAAUUUUUUUCUCAAGACUUUAAUUUUACUGUAAAAAAAAAAUAUACACGAAUUUUUAAAUAUAAGAUUCAUUUAAUGUUAAAAACCAUACAAUACUAUGGGUUGAAAAUAAAAAAAUACUAUCAUAGCAAAUAAAGAGUGUACCUUAGAUGGUGGACAAGUUAACACCCUGGUGCAUCAACCCAUAGUAUUUUUUUUUUUUUCGUAUUUAAGCGUUAAUUUUUUUCUCAAGACUUUAAUUUUACUGUAAAACAAAAUAUACACGAAUUUUUAAAUAUAAGAUUCAUUUAAUAUUAAAAACCAUACAAUACUAUGGGUUGAAAAUAAAAAAAUUGUUUUGUAGCAAAAAUACAUAAGUUAUAUUUUAAGCAAAGUGAUAUUAUAUGUCCGCAUAAUAUGUUAUGACUCACAAAAAUAAACAAAAUAUUUUUCUCAGACACUAACACUAAAUUCAACUCUAUAAGUGGGAGAAUUUAGCCAUAACACCAUGUGUAACAACAACAAUUGAUUAUAAAUAAUAAUAUUGAAAAAGCAAACUAAGAUAAUGCUAGGAGAAAAGGUGUGGGUCCACACUUGUGUGUUAAUAAUGAUUAGGGGCGGAGAAGCAUGUGCAUGCGUUCCCUCUUUUUUUUUUAAAUUUUUUUUUAUUUAACCACACGGUCCUUUUUAAUUUAUUAUUCUCUUAUAUAUAUAUAUAUAUAUUUCCUUUUUAUUUACCACACGAGAGCUAAAGCCACGAGGGUUGGGGUUGGGGUUGGGGUCGGGGCCCAGCGUCACCUGGAUUCAAUGCUCCCGCGCCCGUUUCAUCGAAUUUGGGUGGCAACGCGUGGUCUGGUUCUCGCCCGACAUUUAUGGCGCAUUUUUGCUAUUUUCGAGUCUCCAACUGCAUGGGCCGCGUGCAUAGAUAUAUAGGCCUAGGGCGGGUCCGGUAAAAUCAAACUGCACUCCACCGAAUUCGCGAGUUACGCCCGUACAGCUGAGCUCGACUUCACACUUGUCGCGAGUCGCAACCCUACGAGACAGAUUCACGUGCGUAGACGACGCAGACCCUGUGAAAGUUCGAGCUCCGCAAUUCCGUCCAAAUGCAGGUGGACUCACUGCUUGGAUAAAAUUUCGAGUCUCCAAAAUCUGGAGUUAAUUUUUUCCUUCUUACAACACUACUCGAAUUUAAUGCAUGUCGAUUUCUCAUGCAUGUUUCCUAUGCUACCAUUGAGCUAAUGGACUAGAUCGUACACAAUCCUAACUUUUGGUAAUUUAUAAGAUUAAUAUACUUUAUUUCCUUUUUUUUUAAUAUUUUGAAUUGAUGCGAAUACAGUGAAGGUUCGAAUACCCUGUAAAUUUACCCUCAAGUGCCGCUGAUGAGCUCAAAUAUGUAUUUCAUAAGAGUGCAAAAUAUAAAAAAGUUGAGCUACCAUAAUUUGCCUUGAGCAAUACUCUUUUACUGAUAAAGGCCAUCUUAGCAUUAUAUUUGGGGAGUUGGGUGGGCCAAAAUCUAAUCUUAAUGAGAAAAAGAAGAAUCUAGCACCCAAAGACAUAAUGAGGGAACUUUAGAUGGAAUGCAUGGAUAAAUGAUGGGCUGUUAUGUACCACAAAAGGGUGAUAAAUAUCAGUGCCACUGCAAUGGAGCUUAUUUUAUUAUUUCUCUUCUUAUUAUUCAUGGGCUUCAUCAUUGAACUUGAGGCUCCACUAAAUUUUUUUAUAGCACUAAAGUGCAGGACCAAACUAUACACACACAGAAGAUCAUGAUGCUUUGAUAUGUUUCUAUCAAUUACCCUAUCAUAUAUAUUGCACAAAGCAGAGAGAGAGAGAGGGGUAUCACAAUCACAAGCCUAGCCAAAAUUGAUAAAGCCACAAGGGGGCAGGUGAUGUUGACCAUAGAUAAGAAUAUUCAAGCUGCAUGGUGUGGGGAUUGGUGUUCUUAUUAAGGAGGCUGCACCCCCCCAAAAGGGUGUAUUGCACCCAUAUUGGUGAUGAUCACUGUUGUGGUGUGUCACAUUACAUCAAGGAAAAGAAGUAGAUAUGUAUAUAGCUGAUGACUGUAGGUGGAAACAGAUGGUAGGUGUUAGGGCCUGAUAUUGACCUAGCUAGGGGGUGCUGGUGGAACCCAGAAAAUAGUCAGUCCAAUUCAAAUCCAAAUCUAAAUCUAGCCUGAAAUGUGAUUUUCUUUUGUUUUUUUUGUAGGAUUCUGACAAUUUUUGUUCAGCAGUUUAUCAAACCUAGAUUUGGGUUAGGAUGAUAAAUAUAGAGCAUAUUUAGUGUCGAUGGCUGUCUAAUGCUAUUAGAUUAAAAUUAGUGAGGACGAAAACAUGUAAAAGAUAUUUCCCUAUUUUUGAAGAGGCCGCAGAAAUUAUAUUUAGUCGAACUUUUGUAUAUGUUGUGAGAUAUAUGCCUUACCACUUACAGAAAUAAAUAAAAAAUAUUUUCCCGACGCUUCCUUAGAAUGUGCAGUACGUAAGCUCUCCCUGCCUGCAACCCCAAAUGAAAUCAUAUUUAAUUAAUAUAAUUCAUUUAUCUAAAACUUGAUCAGGUAUAUUAAUUAGAAUUAUUAUUCAAAGUCGUGCUGAUGUAAAAGUCAUUAACAAAUUAAAAAUUAAAGUCUUAACUAACAAAUUAAAAAGUUGACUGCGCCAGGCCCCUAAUUCCUGAGCUCGAGGAGUCGACUCGCCUGCGAUUUCUCAAUCGUCGACUUGCAGCAGACUCAUGAAGAUAUGUUGAAGAUAUAAAAUAAAAAGAAUAUCAUCAUUUUUAGCUCAAAAAGUUUUACUUUGGUUUUUGAAUUUUCAAUUUUGAUGUUAGUGGUUUCUAAUUCUUAAAAAUGUUUUACUUCAAUGGUUAUAUAUAUAUAUUAACUAUUGAGGAUAAAUUAUUGUCUACACCUAGCUAAUGCAUCCAUACAUCAAUGCACCUUGCAUCAUCAAUAAUUUUUAAUUGCAUAUGUUUAAAGUAAGAUAUUUGGAUUGAAAGUACAAGAUAGAUGAAAAAGAAAGGAAUUCAUGAUCUAUGAAUAAACAAAUAAUUAAGUGAAAUCAAUAAUUUUUAAUCUAAGUUGAGGCUUAAAAUGAAACACUUUUAAAAAUCGAGAAACUAAAUUAAAAUCUUACCAAAAGUCCACGAUCUCGAACGCCAGUAUCAAAAGUUUGAGAACCAAAACAAAACUUUACUAAAAAUAUGGAGACUAGUACUGCAAUUUAUCUACUUUUGAGCACAUCGAAAAGUCUCGUGCCCAGACGUGGUUAAUUUAGUAUUUAGCUAUAGAUUUUGGAGAAGAUGACUCUUUGUUGCUUUUUCUUUUUUCUUUUUUAUUUGUGCCUCAUUUUUCACUAGGCCUAGGGUCUAAGUAGCCACACAUAUGUAUAUUUGUUUUCUGAAUAAUCUUUUUCCUACAACAAAAUGAUUAUGAUAUAUGUAUCUAGGACAACUCAAAAUUCUAUGUGGAUCGAUGUCAUGUUAAUGCGUUCAAAUUCCACCCUGUUUUUAUCAUUCCUUGUCUUCUGAGUUCGUUGGAUUUAGCUUUCAACACAUUCCUCACUUUGUUUGAUUCCACUAACAUUAAAAUCUCUUGCGGAUUUCGAGGGUUCUCUAAAUAUUCUGUGUGAUAUCUGUAGAAUGUCUGCCCCCAGUUAAGCCACACAUAGCAUCCAAAUUUGUGUUUGCUUGAGUUGUCCUUUUCAUAAAUAUAAGGUGCUAUUUUUGGACAUAAAUUUUAUAAUUUGUUGUAUUAUUUCUCUCAAGUUUAUAAGGACCCUUUAUCAUAUAAGGAAUUUAGAAAACAUAAGUUUAGGUAGUGUUUGGUUCGGGAACAAGGGGGGGAAUAGGCCCUUGUUCCCCCCUUUGUUCCCAAACGCAAUGUUUGGUUCCCGGGAACAGUAGUUCCCGGGAAUCUGGAACUAUCUGGAACUAGCUAGUAUAAGGCUGGAACUGCUGUUCCACCCGUUUCCUGGAACAAGCUUAUUCCUGGAUGAGAACAAGAUUAAUUAAAAUCUAAAUUUAAUUUUAAUGGCAGUAAAUUAUUAAUUAAUCUAAUUAAUAUAUUUAAAUUAUUAUUUAUUACUUUAAUAAUUAAAUAAUUUAAAUAAUUUAUUAUUUAUAAUUAAAUAUUAAUAAUUAGAUAAUUAUUAUUAUUAAUUUAUUAUUUAUAAUUAAUUAUAAAUAAUUAAUAAUAUUCAUUAUUUUUUUAUUAAUAAUUAUUAUUUAUUCUUAAUGACAAUCGAUAUUAUUAUUAAUUUAUUAUUUAUAAUUAAUUCUUAAUAAUUAAUAAUUAUUAUUAUUUAUUAUUAAUUAUUAAUAAUUUUUAUUCUUAAUAAUUAGAUAAUCGAUAUUAUUAUUAAUUUAUUAUUUAUAAUUAAUAAUAAUUAUUAUUUAUUAAUAAUUAUUAAUAAUUUUUAUUCUUAAUAAUUAGAUAAUCGAUAUUAUUAUUAAUUUAUUAUUUAUAAUUAAUAAUUAAUAAUUAAUAAUAAUUAUUAUUUAUUAAUAAUUAAUUAAUAAUUCUUAUUCUUAAUAAUUAGAUAAUGGAUAUUAUUAUUAAUUUAUUAUUUAUAAUUAAAUAAUAAUAAUUAUUAUUAUUUAUUAAUAAAUAUUAAUAUUAAUUAUUAUUAAUAAUUAGAUAAUCAAUAUUAUUAUUAAUUUAUUAUUUAUAAUUAAUUAAUAAGAAUAAUUAAUAAUUAUUAUUAUUUAUUAAAAAUUAAUAAUAAUUAUUAUUAUUAUUAAUUAGUUCAUCCAUAUUAUUAAUAUAUUAUUUAUAAUUAAUUAUUAAUAAUAAUUAUUAUUUAAAAUUAAUUAUUAAUAAUUAAAUUCUUAUUUAUUUUUAAGUAAUAUUUUUAUUACUAUUAAUUAUAUAAUAUAAUUUUAAUUUCAAAUUAUAACUCUUAUUCCUCUUGUUCCAAUCUAACCAUCCAAACACUAUUUGCCUUAUUCCUAGGAACAACCCAAUUUUCAUCCAAACACAAAAUUGGUCUAGUUCUUGCUUAUACCUGAACUUGUACCUAUCCCUAGAACUAGCAGUUCUUACUUAUACCCGAACCAAACGCAGCCUUAGAGUUUUCUCUUUUUUCCUCUCUCUUUGGUAAGAAAUUAAAAUGAGCUUUUGAAAGUUUUUCUUAGGAGAAUUAGUGCAAAAUCUAAAGUGCUUCGUCAAACAGCUCUAUUCAAUGAAGACAUUUAGAGAAGCUCAAAUCGGGCCGAAAGACCUUUAUUCAAUGUGUGAAACUAUUAAGUCAUCAUGGGCGAAAAACUCAACGUUACUGAAAUUCUUGAUUAGUUUCUAACAAGUUUCUGUUAGAUGUUUCGAAUUCUGGAACCGCGGGCUUUUCUAAUUAUAUAAAUCACUUCAGCUUGACCAAGUUCUUUUACCCCACUCUGAAAAAAUAGUUUUUAUCUGGAGAGCCAUAGGACCAGAGUGAUUGAUACUGUAGAAGCUUCCUCUCUCCAUUAAAUGGCACAUUUAUGUGUGGAAACUACCUUAUUUAAAGCUAUGCUUAUUUGGCAAUAGCGUAUAGUACCUAUCAUCUGUAAAUGUACGUCCUUUGAGCGCUUCAACUUAAAGCAAAAACCUUCUUUUAACUUCUAUUACUCUUAUCGACCGUCUCUAACGCAAGUGGCAAAGGGCUUGUGGUUGGUACCCGAGGUCCCUGAGUUCAAAUCCUAGUUGAUUCUAAUUUUCAGCUAAGUUUAUUUCUAAAUAAAAUAAACGAAGCUUUCUCAAAAAAAAGAAAAAAAAAAAAGAAAAAAAACUUCUAUUACUCCUAAACUAACCAGCGUAUGAAUAUAGGCUUCUAAUUAGCUUUCGUAUAUUCAUUUACAAUGUAACGCAUGCACUUUUGCUUUAUGCUUAAUCAAGUUUCUUACCUCUUAUAUUUUGAUAAUUGGUUUGUUAAGAAACUAAGAUAUUUCAUUGAAACUGAUCAAAUGAAAAUUUUAAGUUUCGGCCCGGUCAAUUGUCAAGUUUAAUUGAUCAGCUAAUCAUCUCCAGGUGAUCACAACAUUAAUUUUAUCCUUUUGCGACAGUGAUUUGCACUCUCAUUUUAACUAAGAAACAAACGCCAUAAUGAUAAUGCAUUCUUCCAGUACAAGUGCUACACAUUUAGCACUAGUCUUAUAUCUCAAGUCCUUCGCAACUUCGAAUCCGAAUAAGCUAUUGCGAAAUGAAUUUAAUAUGUGUUGGAGUUGAGAAUUUUAAUACCGGAUUCAGGAUAGAGCAUCAUAAUCACUCUUGUUUUUUUCUGUUUGAAAACUAACAUAGGAGUUCUCAUUUUAUAUGAGCAACAUACAUGUAUGGUUGGUUAAGGAAAUGUUAUAAGAAGGGUUGGAGAUGUGGUAGGUGAUACUCAACCUAGUUUGUCCAUAUAUUAAUAGGAUGUGUAGUGGUCCAAAAUCAAUUAGUGAAAGGAAUUGAAGGACCCAGAAAAAUUGUUUGUCCUUGUGUUUCCUGUGUAGUGUUAGGUCUUAGGAGGGAUCAGGAGCCAAGUAAUAUUGUCCCAAAGCAAUUCCAUGCAAAAAGUAUUAAUGAGAGAAAAAAAUCGAAAUUAAUGCGGGUCGAUCGAUCAGUUUGCCCGAUUCGUCAACCGCAAUGCUAAUUUCUGCUCAACAUGCGAAUCCGAUGAUUGGGUUUCUUGUAAGAAAAGUGUAUGUGUAACAAAAAUUAGGAUUUGCAUGUUGGAUUUUCAACUAGUUUAAUUUUAUUUCUUCAAGAAUAUAUAGCAUAUUUAAUUUGGCUGGCUGUUGAAAUAAAUAUUCAUUAAAACAGUAGUAUCUGAAUGCCAAGUCGAAGUUGCAUGUGAAAGAACAAGAUGUCGCUAACCCGACAUAUUAUCGGAUGAUUCUUACGUGCUUAUUUAUUACAUAUUUGGUGUUGUUAGAAGUCAGAUAUGACUAGUAAGAUCAAAUUCAUGUAGUAAUAAUAGCUAAGCCUAACACAGUAAUAUAUACAUCAACUAUGAAAGCCAAUACAUUUACGGAGCAACACAUAUCCUUCCAUUGUACACCAAUGUAUCAUGCUGUGACAUGUGCCAACCAUUGGUUAAAAAUGAAUGGACCAAGACUAAAAGAGAUGAAAAUUAUUCCACCUAUUCGAAAUGUUUCUAACUUGAUAUUGAGGAAUUUAAUAAGCUGUGUGUGAAUUCCAACUCAUCAAAGAAAAGGACAUAUAUAACCUAUUUUGGGGGUUCACUGAGCAUGUGCUUACCUGAGCCCUCCCUAGCAAAAUCUGGGACCAUAUCAUCAAGAUCCUUUUUUAACCACACCUAAUAUCGAAGAAGCACAAUAGAUAAAUUACGCAAGAAAACUGAGAGGAAAAAAGGGGAAAAAAAAAAAAUGUAUUCAUGGAAAACCAGCCACCCUUUUGUUCACACUGAAUACAUGCCAGGUUGGUAGUGAGCUAAUAAUGCCACAGUAAUCCACCUACCAUAUCAAUUGCUUAUCACAUCAUCAGAAUCUGAGGUAAGUGAAAAGGACAACAUAAGGAGAAAAGUAUGAAGAUUGAUUCUGUAGAGAGAUUUAGCAGUUUCAAGUGAUGUGAAUGUUACAUUUCCUAAGUAACCAGGCAUGGAAUAGAUGUGGUGGCCAUGGGAGUAGGUUGACAUGUAACAUUUCUACUAUGGUAGAAACUAGAAAGGGGAUUGACUAUUUAACCCAAAAAUUUGUCCAAAAUUCCAAAAAAUUAAUAAAAGAUAAGAAAAAAACAAAAAGAAGAAAUUACAGAGGAGCUUGGGUUCACUUCAUCUAUAAAGGCCCAUUACUUCUUCUCCUUCUCUAUCACUUACGACUGCGCGAGUGGCAGAGAUGGAUAGUGGCAGAAACAAGAAGCUGGUCUCAUGGUUCAUUGUUCUCUUCCUCUUCAUGCAAGUAAAUUCUCAAUGCCAUAGAGUUGAAUAACCACUUUGUUUAAGGUCAAAUUGCUAAUUGUUGACUUUAGUUUUUGCUCUUCUCACUACUAAUAAAUUUGCAUGCAGGUAGUUGCAGAGGCUUCCUUGCACAAUUUCAUUGGCCUCGAAGAUGUUAGUGAUCAAACGCCAUAUAAAUUUCCUUAAAUUUCUAAACUGAAUUAUUAUUAUAAUUGUUGUUAUUUUUUCCUGAGGGAAAAAAAGAAAAGUUACACACUUACAGAAUGACACAGGAAUAAGAAAUUUGCAAGUUUUACUUAAAAAGGAAAUUGCAAGUUUUAGAUGAGUAGGCCACUAGCAUCCUCAAAAAUCAAUUUGUUUUGUAAUUUUUAUGUAAAUGUAGCUUUAAAUUAGUGAUUUUUUGUGAGAAAAGGAAGGCGAAUAAAGAGGUUUUUUUUUAUUAUUAUUA